CCCAAGUGCCCCGGAGGACGCGCGAAGGUGUGACCGGAAGAGCCGAGGGAGCCGAGGAGUGGGGACCUAUUGCCCAGGCCUGAGAAGCCCAGAGUCGUCAUGGGCCGGAUCACAGAAGAGCUGAUCAGACGGAACGCCGAGCACAAUGACUGUGUCAUUUUUUCCCUGGAGGAGCUUUCCCUGCAUCAGCAAGAAAUAGAAAGACUAGAACAUAUUGACAAAUGGUGCCGGGAUUUGAAAAUCCUGUAUCUUCAAAAUAAUCUCAUUGGAAAAAUUGAAAAUGUUGGCAAACUCAAGAAACUUGAAUAUUUGAAUUUAGCUUUAAACAACAUCGAAAAAAUCGAAAACUUGGAAGGAUGUGAAGGGCUGACGAAACUUGACUUGACAGUAAACUUCAUUGGAGAGCUGAGCAGCGUCAAGUCCCUUCAGCACAACAUCCACCUCAAAGAGCUUUUCCUCAUGGGUAACCCAUGUGCUGACUUUGACGGCUACAGGCCUUUCGUGGUGGCGAUUCUCCAGCAACUCAAGUGGCUGGAUGGUAAAGAAAUAGAGCGCUCAGAAAGGAUCCAGGCCUUGCAGAACUUUCCAGAAAUUGAGCCACAAAUCAGAAAGCAGGAGGAAACUUACUGCCUCAAACGAGCCAAAGAAAAGGAAGAUGCUCAGAGGAAACAGCAAGAGCAUGAAAUGGAGGAGGAGAGGCGUCCCUCAGACUGCAGGGACCCCGAGCCAGGGGACAUUGGCAGCACUCAUACCUCUUCCUGGAUGGAGAGCAACGAGCACUCACAGAUGCCGGGAGCACCAGAAGGACACAACAGAAAGAAGCCAGACAACAACCAAGAGGACUUGGAGUUCUGGAAUAAACCCUCUCUGUUCACGCCUGAAUCCAGACUGGAGACGCUUAGACAUAUGGAAAAACAACGAAGAGACCGAGAACGAUCAAGUGAAAAGAAGAAGAAAGUGAAACCGCCCAGGACUUUGAUCACUGAAGAUGGGACACCCCUGAAUGUAAAUGAACCCAAACUUGACUUCUCUCUGAAAGAUGAUGAAACCCGUCACCAGAUCACCCUGGACCUUGCUGUCUAUAGGUACCUGGACACCUCUUUGAUCGAGGUCGAUGUGCAGCCAACUUACGUGCGAGUGAUGGUCAAAGGGAAGCCGUUUCAGCUCGUCCUCCCUGCAGAAGUCAAGCCCGACAGCAGCUCUGCCAAGAGAUCUCAGACAACAGGGCACCUUCUGGUCUGCAUGCCCAAGGUAGGAGAAAUAAUCACAGCUGGCCACCACACAUCCAAGUCUGUGAAAAGUACCUUGGAUAGCGGCAGAGAGCAAACAAACAGAUAAGGGCACCGAGGCCCAUCCUGGCCCUGCAGCGUCUCCAGGUGGCUCAGAGAAAUGAAGCCCAAGGUCAGACAAGAACCCCAGGGUCUGUCAGCCAGCGCACCCUAACAAGUGCUGUAGUUCGUCCGAAGGCUACAAGCAACUCUUGUGCAUACACAAAUGAGCACCUGUCAAAGAUUUUUGUGCAACUCACUGAGUCAUGAGCCAUUUAGAUGUGAUUAGUUCAAAGGAGACCUUGAAGAAUGGAGAGCUAGAUGGGUCAUUCCUGACCACCCCAGGGAUGCUAGAAUAACUUUACUAAAAGGUUAAAAACAAGUUAAUAUUUACAAGGUCUUCCAAAAUAAGUUUUUUUUUUUUUAACAGAGCACAAAUCAACUGUAGUGCUACAGCACAAAUUCAUUCAUGUGACUCAGUUUCUUAGAAGUUAACGUUUACCUGUGAAGACCUAGAAACAGCAUCCUCAACAGGAGAGAGCAGCCACGGGUACCAGGACCUCUAGACCAGCUAAUCCCCACAGGGAGUUGACUGACCUUGCUCAUUUCCUGACACCGGAAAAGGUUUCAGUGGCGUCCAAGCCUGAGCCCUUGCCCUCUCUGCCAGGUGAGGCUGAGACUAGUCAGGUCCCGGCCUCCUGGCCAGAGCUGCAGACUCUCGAAAAGCAGAUUCUCCGCUUGCAGCAUGGUUGUGCAGGUGACGGACCCCUCCACCUGCCUGGCAUCAGCUCCCGCCGCCUCUUCACACUCCCUCGCAGAGACGUCAGGGGGGAGCCAGGGAGACGCUGGUCGUGCUGGGCUCUGCGGUACAGGACUGGGGCACCGGGGCCCUCCGGGUUCAGCGAGACCCUUGGCAAGGCGCGCCUCUCCCUGUCGCUAAGGCCAAGUUGACCCCCUGCCCUGCCUUUCUCACAGGCACCAAUUCUGGGGGCUGCCCCUUCUAGAUACCUCUUGCCCUGAUCCCCUCCUGCGGGAUCUGCUGCCCUGCAGGCCACGGCCUCCCUCAGCAGGGGCCCACCGAGGGGGUUGCCACAGACCCCAUGCAUCUCCUCCAGGUGCUCCCUCCCCAGUCACCUGAAGGCCCUUUCUGAGCCCAGACCACAGCCAGCGUCAGGUCCUCAAGUUCCCACGCUGCCCGCCCCGCCCUGCACCACUGCGGCUCCUGCGGCCCUGGCCUGAAGCUGCCUGGUGCCCAGCACCCCGGCAGAGGCUGAGCCUCCACCUGACACCGCCUUCUCAGCAGCAAAGCCACACCCACCGUGGUCUGAGGUGCAGACUGGAGAUGCCCUAGGGUGAAUCCUGACACGGCCCUUCCUUGGCUGCGACAUCCCGGCAGGGCAUGAAGCUCCCGGAGUGUCAUUUCACCAUGGCUGAUGUAGGGAGACAUCACCAUGACGCCCAGCUCACAACUUCGCUGCAGGCCCAAGUGGGGUCACCUAGUAGGUCACCGUCAGGUGUAGGUGAUGGGGACGGCAGGCGCCUCUAGCGGGGCUGCAAUAUGCCAUGAGGAUAGGGACCGGCGCAGGGGCUUUGCAUUAUUUCGUCUCUUCAAGCAAAUG